UUGAACGCUGGCGGCAGGCCUAACACAUGCAAGUCGAGCGGUAGCACAGAGAGCUUGCUCUCGGGUGACGAGCGGCGGACGGGUGAGUAAUGUCUGGGAAACUGCCUGAUGGAGGGGGAUAACUACUGGAAACGGUAGCUAAUACCGCAUAACGUCGCAAGACCAAAGUGGGGGACCUUCGGGCCUCAUGCCAUCAGAUGUGCCCAGAUGGGAUUAGCUAGUAGGUAGGGUAAUGGCUCACCUAGGCGACGAUCCCUAGCUGGUCUGAGAGGAUGACCAGCCACACUGGAACUGAGACACGGUCCAGACUCCUACGGGAGGCAGCAGUGGGGAAUAUUGCACAAUGGGCGCAAGCCUGAUGCAGCCAUGCCGCGUGUGUGAAGAAGGCCUUCGGGUUGUAAAGCACUUUCAGCGGGGAGGAAGGCGAUAAGGUUAAUAACCUUGUCGAUUGACGUUACCCGCAGAAGAAGCACCGGCUAACUCCGUGCCAGCAGCCGCGGUAAUACGGAGGGUGCAAGCGUUAAUCGGAAUUACUGGGCGUAAAGCGCACGCAGGCGGUCUGUCAAGUCGGAUGUGAAAUCCCCGGGCUCAACCUGGGAACUGCAUUCGAAACUGGCAGGCUAGAGUCUUGUAGAGGGGGGUAGAAUUCCAGGUGUAGCGGUGAAAUGCGUAGAGAUCUGGAGGAAUACCGGUGGCGAAGGCGGCCCCCUGGACAAAGACUGACGCUCAGGUGCGAAAGCGUGGGGAGCAAACAGGAUUAGAUACCCUGGUAGUCCACGCCGUAAACGAUGUCGAUUUGGAGGUUGUGCCCUUGAGGCGUGGCUUCCGGAGCUAACGCGUUAAAUCGACCGCCUGGGGAGUACGGCCGCAAGGUUAAAACUCAAAUGAAUUGACGGGGGCCCGCACAAGCGGUGGAGCAUGUGGUUUAAUUCGAUGCAACGCGAAGAACCUUACCUGGUCUUGACAUCCACAGAACUUUCCAGAGAUGGAUUGGUGCCUUCGGGAACUGUGAGACAGGUGCUGCAUGGCUGUCGUCAGCUCGUGUUGUGAAAUGUUGGGUUAAGUCCCGCAACGAGCGCAACCCUUAUCCUUUGUUGCCAGCGGUUAGGCCGGGAACUCAAAGGAGACUGCCAGUGAUAAACUGGAGGAAGGUGGGGAUGACGUCAAGUCAUCAUGGCCCUUACGACCAGGGCUACACACGUGCUACAAUGGCAUAUACAAAGAGAAGCGACCUCGCGAGAGCAAGCGGACCUCAUAAAGUAUGUCGUAGUCCGGAUUGGAGUCUGCAACUCGACUCCAUGAAGUCGGAAUCGCUAGUAAUCGUAGAUCAGAAUGCUACGGUGAAUACGUUCCCGGGCCUUGUACACACCGCCCGUCACACCAUGGGAGUGGGUUGCAAAAGAAGUAGGUAGCUUAACCUUCGGGAGGGCGCUUACCACUUUGUGAUUCAUGACUGGGGUG
rnacentral:rRNA from 1 species